rnacentral:rRNA from 1 species
AUGAGAGUUUGAUCCUGGCUCAGGACGAACGCUGGCGGCGUGCCUAAUACAUGCAAGUCGAACGCUUCUUUCCUCCCGAGUGCUUGCACUCAAUUGGAAAGAGGAGUGGCGGACGGGUGAGUAACACGUGGGUAACCUACCCAUCAGAGGGGGAUAACACUUGGAAACAGGUGCUAAUACCGCAUAACAGUUUAUGCCGCAUGGCAUAAGAGUGAAAGGCGCUUUCGGGUGUCGCUGAUGGAUGGACCCGCGGUGCAUUAGCUAGUUGGUGAGGUAACGGCUCACCAAGGCCACGAUGCAUAGCCGACCUGAGAGGGUGAUCGGCCACACUGGGACUGAGACACGGCCCAGACUCCUACGGGAGGCAGCAGUAGGGAAUCUUCGGCAAUGGACGAAAGUCUGACCGAGCAACGCCGCGUGAGUGAAGAAGGUUUUCGGAUCGUAAAACUCUGUUGUUAGAGAAGAACAAGGACGUUAGUAACUGAACGUCCCC